rnacentral:siRNA from 1 species
AUAUGGGCAAAUACGAUAUAUAAC